UACGUAGGGGGCAAGCGUUAUCCGGAUUUACUGGGUGUAAAGGGAGCGUAGACGGCGAUGCAAGUCUGAAGUGAAAGGCGGGGGCCCAACCCCCGGACUGCUUUGGAAACUGUAUGGCUGGAGUGCAGGAGAGGUAAGUGGAAUUCCUAGUGUAGCGGUGAAAUGCGUAGAUAUUAGGAGGAACACCAGUGGCGAAGGCGGCUUACUGGACUGAAACUGACGUUGAGGCUCGAAAGCGUGGGGAGCAAACAGG
rnacentral:rRNA from 1 species